UUGGAGUACAGGCCAGAGCACAGGUAGAGUGAAUGUACAUUUAAACAGAAGAUAGAAUUGCUAUAAUGUUUUUCUCAUUUAUUUCUCAUCCUAGAUGCCUGGUUACAGUGAUGCUUCCUCACACAUGCAAGCGGCUAGUUCUGUGACCGGGCCACUGGAAGGAGUGCCCCAACCCAGUUCCUACUGGCAUCAGAGUGCAUCACCUACAGAAAUGGGAAACAAACAAAGAGAUAUAAAAUCUGCAUACAAGGUAUCGCACAUGACCUAGGCCCAUUAACUGUCACAAACUUCAUAAGUAAAAAAGGAAGAGCAAUGCAGUACUUUACUAACAGUGUCACCAGGUCUUGAGUCCACUGAGACCUUCUAUUUAAUUUCAUAAUUGUUUGUUAAGAUUUUUCCUGAGGACCUUUAACUACUUUUCUUCUGCAAAAAGUACAGAGGUAUGGGUAUAACCAGGAACUUGCCUUCUGCUGCUAUGGAGAUGAGCUUAUCUAUGGAGCAUAAUAGAUAUGCCCUGAAUAUAUAAACUUCUUGCAUUUCAGGGCACGUUCUUUCUGCAUAUUUUUGUCUCACACUUACAAAAGCCAAUAAAAAUGUAAAGGUCUUGUCCGGAGAUGUGCUGCAUGUUAAAUGAAAAAUCUUGGGAAGUAUUCUUUAAUGUUGUUUUAACAUCAAGGAAAAUCACUUCAGUUGAUUCCCAGCCUUAACAGCGUGGGAUAGAAGAGCUUUCCAUUUCCAGCUCUAAGCAUAGAAGCUGUCUAUUCCAGGCAAGCCCUAUUCUAUAUAACUGUACCGCAGUGUUGUACUAGAAACGUUCUCCUCUUCUUCCCAAUAAGAUCUGUAAAGGUUCCUACGUACACAUCCACCUACCUGUUUUCUGCCCUACUGCAUAGAUGUGCUGCACUAAGUGGCUUAAAAAAAAAUCAUAAUGAAUUAGUGAGAAAGGCGAGAGAUGAGAAGUGCCAUGUUCUAAAUUCAGAGGCUAACAAUGGAUGCUCAUUUAUGAAAAUGUGAAACGAAGGGGGGGUGCAAUGGAAGUUUCUUUUUUGGCAUUCUCAUUGUUUGGGAGCAGGAAAAAUGGCCUAGAACACCCAAAACACCACGACUGGGUGAGUGGGGAGAACCGUACUUUACUUUCCCAAAGAGAAGCAAAGGCUCAGUUGCAGGGUUGGCAGUUCCUAGUUCGGGGCGUGUGGUUUCGGGGCCCCUACCUCGUGUGCAUGUUUGGAAAACGCCUCUGCGCUGGCCAUCAUGCUCGCAGUCCUUUCAUCCAGCUCUCCCAGUUUCUGUCCUCUCUCAUCAAGGGCAAUGCGUGCACGAGUCAAGUCCCCAAUGACUCCUCCUGCGGCUCCUCUCACACCUUCAAUUCCGCCUGAUCCAGGGAUGUGCUGGGCAAGACUGCGAGACGCUUUUCCUGCCGUGGCCUCGCCAACUGCAAAGGAGAAACGGACAAACGGACAGGAUUGAGUUCCUGGCCAUGGCUCUGUCAGUGCUUCUCAUCCUAGGGCUGCAGCCUCGCCGUGGCGAUGCCAUUUGAAGGGCAGAUGGCACGUGUGGAAGACUUUGCUCUGUGCACCGGCACAUCUACGGGGCACUCCUGGGCUCCCGCCCUUACUCGUUCAAAAGAAGCUGCCGAGGUGAAGGAAUCAUGGGAAGGCAACUGAGGAUCCUCCCCUUCCUUCACGAAGUCGUCUUUAUUUUUUCAUCAAUGAUCUAAAUCUUGUGUACCGCUCCAUUCCUAAAUGACAAGGGCAGGGGACCCUGUGAAUUGAUUUCUGCAAAAAAAAAAACCAAAACCAAACCCAAUAAAUUACUUACAGAGCUCCUCUCUGUCAAAAGCUUGUCCACUUCCUCCAAAAAGUCCUUUGAGAAAGCCUCUGUUUUGGGCUUCUGGUGUUUCCACAGGAGUAAACAAAUCCCCAAGCAUGUCCUAGUAAAGUCAGACAAAAAUCCAUGUGAAAAAUUAGUGAGGUGAAAGCUGUUCUAGGUGAUUUCCUUAUUGGCAUUAACGAGCCACAUGCAUUGGAUCUAAACCAGUUUUAAAAGAGUCUGUUAUGUGAACAGUACUGAGUACUUAACAUUUGUGUUUCAUGACAGGCAAAUACUUGGGCUAACUAGAUUCACUCAAGCUUUCAAAGGGACUUGGUUUAUCAUGGCCCAGUCUUAUGUUCAUUACCACAGAGAAAAAAAUUUACAAGCAAUACAGAGUGAAAAUAUCAGUGAUAAGAUCACAUUUCACUUAGAAACAGCAGAGGCAACACUAUAAUUGAAUAAACAAUUUGUUGUGAAUUAUGUGUUUUGCUUUAGUGAUUAUCCAGGCAAGCAGGGCAGUCAUUCUGUUCUCUCUCUAUAACGUACCCGAGUUCAGCGCUUGCUAGCAGUUCAGAGAGUUUGGUAGGUUUUUGUUUGGUGGCUUUUUGUUGAUUUUUUGUGACAAAAUCCCAUCACCUUCCAUACAACCUCUCCCCCCUCCCCGCCGCCGUUACUGUGCAUGUUGGCAGUGCCAUCAGCAAUGCUAAAUGAGCACGUCUGCUGAAGGCACUGCCGCGGCACCAGAUCUUGGAGCAGUCGACCCAAACAAAUCUCAGGCUCAGAUUUACCUGCAGCAGUACUGGGAAAAGUGGCCUCUCCAGCUUAAAACUGAUAAAGAACGCGUGCAGUCCCAUUAGUGUUUGAAACCAGUGAGGCUGUGUGCACUGAGAACAGUUGCUGCCCUGUUGCUCAGCUCUGUGUUUGCUCAUCGAAGCCUCCACAGGCAGAUACAGCUGUUGUGCUGCACAGAGCACUCGGCUCCUGGGAGGCUGAGUGCUAGGACGGCGCUGUGACUCACACUUACUGCUCCUCUGCACUGUCACCUGCUCUGGGGAGAAAAAUUACUGCAGCCCUUCGAGCCUAAGUGGAGGCUCUCAUGCAGCCUGGCUUUGUUUUCCUAGGUAGCAGGUGAUACGGGGUCAUCUGCUUUUUGUACACAUAUAAUGACUGUGCAAGCCUUUUACUGUCCUCUCUGCAUAAAAGCCAAGACACAAGCAGCCACAGCCCGACCGUACAGAGAAGCAAGGGCUGUGUUUCCCUUUGGUUGGUUGUUGUAUGAUGCUAUUAAGGUUAAUUAAAAAAAAUCUAGCUUGUAACAGCCUCUCACUAUAGGUCCGUAUUCUAAAAUACAUUGAUCAAACCUUUUGAUCACUUAAAAAUCAGUUCCCUGCAAAAUAAUCUCUUCUCGGAUGCGCAGAAGCUUGUGUGCAAUGCUCACUCCUCACAGUGCCUUUUCAGACUUGAGACAGACAGUGCUGUGAUGUGAGUUGAGCAGCUCAGCACAUGUUAUUCCCUAGGGCAUAAUGAGUACUGGCAGGACCAUUUCUUUUAUAUUUCUAUCCUAGUUCAGUGCUAAUUAUAUAACCUAGAACUUAUUCCCCCUCUUUUUUUCCCUUUUAUUACUCAUGUUUCUCCCUGUAACCUCUCACAAUUCCUCCUCUUCAGUAAAUGACUUUUUAAUUUGCAUUUUCAUUGUUAAAAAACCCCAACCAACCCAAAUCUAACAUUGUAAAGACCUUUUGCUCAAAAUAAAUUAUUUUAAUUGGA